UCAAAAUCUCUCUGCCAAAUCCAUUAGUUAAAGGAAGGGGUUGUUUACAACAUCCUGUGUUUGCUGUAAAUGGCUGAUUAUAAGUCAAAAUGGGACAAGGGUGCCCAACAAUAGGGAGAAAAUGGCAGGGUGUUGGCAAAGUAAAGAUGCAUUCCACACAUGCGCGGAAACAAAGUGUCAAAAACAGAGCCACAUGUGAAUAUCAUCAAUUUCCCAUGUAUGGUAACCAGCUGAAGUAAC